AGUUUGGUCUGAUGGACUCCAACGGGGGGUUCUGGCGACUGAUGCGGACCAUGCUGUAUGAUUUCCAAAUUCUGUGAGCAAAUUACUUAAACCUGCGGUGGCCCAUUUCACAGUUUGGUGAAAUGGGGAUUGCAAAAUUCGACUUCACACGGAGUGAUAGCGUUAUGUAUCCCGUGACUGUAUAGCACGGAUGACUGCGUUAUUUCCGUGCUAGAGGAAAGUUUUGAGACUUGCUGCGGACAGGGAAUGUUAGUGUUACAGUAGAUGGGCUCGCAGGAGCCUGGAGUCCCUCCAUACAGAAGUGUGGUCCUUUGCCAUUUUCUUCAGCCUUACAGUUUUGCACGCCAAUGCCGCUGGUUGUUCCGUCUUGUCCUUCAGCCACAUCUCAGCACCACAGCGCCUAAACAUGUUGCUCCUCUGUCUUUUAUCUUGGUUUUCAUGGAGAAACAGUUGAGCUUAAAGAGCUCCUACAGAGGGUGGUGCCUUUCACAGCUGAAGGCCUCUUCUUUAGCCUUUCUGGAAACUGUGAUGACAGCUACUGGUGGGAAAAAUCACUCGGGAACAGAGCCAUAGCCCUGCUUCUAGGUAACUGGCUAUCACCUGAACCGUUCCUUAGGACAGACUACUGCUGAUUCCUUGCUUUCUGCCUCUCUUGCUCAUGUGAUAAAGUGAGAGCAUUA
rnacentral:lncRNA from 1 species